GACGAACCGUGCGAACGUUGUUCGGAAUCACUGGGCUUAAAGGGCGCGUAGGCGGGCCGCCAAGUCAGGGGUGAAAUACUCCAGCUCAACUGGAGAACAGCUUUGAUACUGGCGGCCUCGAGUGAGGUAGGGCAUGCGGAACAUUGGUGGAGCGGUGAAUGACGUUGAUAUCCAAUGGAACUCCGGUGGCGAAGCGGCGAUGCUGACCUCGAACUGACGCUGCGGCGACGAAGCC
rnacentral:rRNA from 1 species